rnacentral:lncRNA from 1 species
CUCGUCGCUAUAUAAACAAACGGGAGCUGCUGGCUCUAGCUCUCGCAAUCAACAAAAUGCUGCCUACCAUCCAAAUUGUUCAUGUGUUGAGGUAAGUAAUUUCAUUGUCUAUUCAUUUAAGAAAACAUUUUUAUAUACAAUUCCACUUACUACAAAAUUUAUCGGGAAUGUGGUCGACUGAAGCAGUUGAUUGAUAAGGAAAUGACCAAGCUCCAAGUGGAGAACAAGGAUUGAAAGAGGAGCUUAUGUCGACGAAGUCAGAAUUAUCUGAGAUGAAUGUAAACAUGCGUCAAUCAAACAAUUUUUUAAAGCUCAAUGAGGCCAUUCAGAGUCACAAUAUAUUGAAAGAUGGCUUGAGUGACAUCAGGUUGUCUCUUAAAAUUUUUGUUGAAUCUUUAUCUGACAUUUUAUCUUCGAUGAUGGAUGAAAUUCAUAAAAAGUUGAGUGGUGAAGAUAUUUUGACGAAACAAGUGUUGAAAGAUGAUGAUAUGGUUGACAAAAAGGACAAGGGUCACAUAGAACCUGUGCUGAAAGAUGAUGAUGUGGUUGACAAAAAGGGCAAGGAUCAUAUGGAACCUGAGCCAAAAGGUGAUGAUGUGGUUGAAAAAUGGACAAGGGUCACAUGACACCUGAGUUUUCACAUGCUCUUCACGAUGACUACGUUCUUGAAUCUCCUUCAUUUGAUCUAGGAGUUGGCUCCUCACAAACACCUAAAAGCUCUGAUGAUUCAUUUUUUGCCAGUAAAGAAGUGCAGGAACAGGUUGAUGAGGCUAUUGUACGCGUGUUGGAGUCUACUGAACUUCAAUCCAAAGAUGUCUGUUUUAAUGGAAC